UAAUACGGAGGGUGCGAGCGUUGUCCGGAAUCACUGGGCGUAAAGGGCGCGUAGGCGGUGCGGUAAGCGUGCGGUGAAAGCUCGGGGCUCAACCCCGAGUCGGCCGUGCGAACUGCUGGACUGGAGCAUGUCAGAGGCGGGUGGAAUUCCGGGUGUAGCGGUGGAAUGCGUAGAGAUCCGGAAGAACACCGGUGGCGAAGGCGGCCCGCUGGGACAUAGCUGACGCUGAGGCGCGACAGCGUGGGGAGCAAACAGGAUUAGAUACCCUGGUAGUCCACGCCGUAAACGAUGGGUACUAGGUGCUUGGGGGAGCGACCCCCUGGGUGCCGGCGCUAACGCAUUAAGUACCCCGCCUGGGGAGUACGACCGCAAGGUUG
rnacentral:rRNA from 1 species